UAAUAAUAAGCCCGCAGGGCAGCUUGUGGCGAGCUGUUGGGGAGUAACGACCCCACGGACCCGAGUGCUCCAGAGAGUCGUACAGGGUCUCCGUCUCCGGCGUGUCUUCGUCGGUCGGAGUGAACCCCAAGGGGACCCGCAGGACUCUCGGCUCUGGCUUGCCUUAAUUGGCCGUCCAGAGAGGAGUCGUUAGAGCUAUAUGCUCCAGGGGUGGAAGUGUUAAAGGGCAUAACGCCGCGAGUAACUUCGGAGAAAACGCAGCACACCUCUCGACACCCCUGAGCCGCUCACGCCGGUGUUGCGCCUGGCCGUCUGUACGAUGGCGCAUCAGGUGCCCAUCUAGCGAGUGGCGAGUCACCGCCUGCCUCGAUAACACUGUAUAACACAAUGUUAUGGCAGGUGUCCGGAACUCUUAGCAAUAGCCCAGUCUUUUUUCCACCCAAACUUAAAACAUAGACCAGUACUCUGUCCAUAUUCUCUACAAUAGCUUCCAAUGCCUGCUGAAACCGGUUCAUGGGUAUCUAUUGAUGUACCCGUGAAUGGGUUCCAGCAGGCGUUCUACAUGACAUCAAAUCUCUCCAAAUGGCCUCUACGUGUUGGAUCUAUAUCCCCACGCACGCCUUAUAAAUGACCGGGCUCGAAAGACCCGAGAGUUUUAUAACGGAGAUAAUAAUAAUAAUAAUAAGCCCGCAGGGCAGCUUGUGGCGAGCUGUUGGGGAGUAACGACCCCACGGACCCGAGUGCUCCAGAGAGUCGGUCAGGUGGAACCCCAAGGGGACCCGCAGGACUCUCGGCUCUGGCUUGCCUUCAUUGGCCGUCCAGAGAGGAGUCGUUAGAGCUAUAUGCUCCAGGGGUGGAAGUGAAAUUUGCGUAAGCGCGAGUUGGCACAGUGGCUGUUUACAGCCACUGGGUAGAAAGCGGUGUACACCUCUCGACACCCCUGAGCCGCUCACACCGAUGUUGCGCCUGGUCGUCUUUACGACGACAGUUUCAGGGGCCCAUCUAGUCAGCGGCGAGUCACCACCUGCCUCGAUAACGUGU